rnacentral:misc_RNA from 1 species
GGCUGGCAAGAUAUAAACAAUGAUGAUGCGGAUGGAUUGGAUCCUGUUGAUCAGACAAGUAAGGCAGAGUCCAGAACAUUCAGAAGGGAGUUGUGUUCUCGUAUUGAAGAGCGAGCAGUCAAUGACCUACCCUUUAUAAGGGGCAGGGGUAGAUAUGCUCAGGAUCCUCAUGCUAGAAGUCAAGGAGAUGAUCGUUUGGUUGAUUCUCAAGCCUGCAGUAGGGGCAUAAAGCACCAUCAUUUGUCCAAGUACCAUGUCCCAUUUUCUUUUCAUCACCUCGGGUCAGCAAAAGGCUUGCACCAACGUGUUAGAAGAAGCGGAUCACCAGACGCUAGAGAUAAGACUCUUGGUAUGCAUCGGCAUAUUAGACCAUUGAGGAACCUUAGUCCUGGUCGGCGUGUGACCCUUGGCAGGGGCAGGGCUAUGAGAUAUGGUCUGCAACUCGAAGGUAGAGGCCCCAGGGGUAGAUACCAUGGUUUUGAAGUUGAUGAUUGCUGCCAUUCUUCUGUGACA